GUGGGGAAUUUUGGACAAUGGGGGAAACCCUGAUCCAGCGACGCCGCGUGAAGGAUGAAGGCCUUCGGGUUGUAAACUUCUUUUGGAGGGGACGAAUAAAUUGACGGUACCCUCAGAAAAAGCCACGGCUAACUACGUGCCAGCAGCCGCGGUAAUACGUAGGUGGCGAGCGUUACUCGGAAUUACUAGGCGUAAAGCGUAUGUAGGCGGUUGUAUAAGUCUAUGGUGAAAUUUCCUGGCUCAACUGGGAAGGGACAUAGAUACUGUAUGGCUUGAGUGUUGGAGGGGGAGACGGAAUUCCUGGUGUAGCGGUGAAAUGCGUAGAUAUCAGGAGGAACACCGAUGGCGAAAGCAGUCUCCUGGCCAAAUACUGACGCUGAGGUACGAAAGCUAGGGUAGCAAACAGGAUUAGAAACCCGGGUAGUCC
rnacentral:rRNA from 1 species